GGCAGAAUAGUGCCUGCCUGCCUGCCAGCCAGAAGGCUCCACCCACUUCUUUAGUAGAAGUGACAACAGGUGUGGUCGUGGAAACACCUGGACCUCAUCUCCUCGCCAAGGUGAGUAACAAAAGGAGAAACGGGGAAGAUGUGGAAGAGGAGGCUCAAGGAGAGGAGCUGUGUGGGUGCUCCCUUAGACCGCCAUGGUGGAGAAAUACGUCCCGGUUUCCCAUUCCGUGAUCAACCCCUCAUCCUCAGCUCCAGAUCUCCAUCCCUCCACAAUGUCACGAGUUGCUGCUAACUAGUAUCUGUUGGAGUGGAGUGGAUCUGCAUUGUCACAUGGGAAGUGCAUAGAACUCAAGAUGAAGUGACGGUGGGAUGGAGUGAUGAAGAAGAAGGAGAGAGGUGCCAAGAGAGGGAACCAUCUGACGGCAAAAGCUCCAACAAGCUGCCUAAUUGGGCACAAGAGGCAAAAAAGAACUUUGGUGGCGAAACACUUCAAAACACUUUCUAAUACCGUGUAAACACAUCCAGGAGGGGAGCAUACCAGCGUACGUGCUGCGGCCAGUGAUUCAUCAUCCUCCUGCAGCCGACGAGAUGAGACUCUGUCCGUCAGCUCCAUUGUGUCGGGAUAACACCCUGAUAAUUAUCUGCACGGCUGCUCUCCUCUUCUCUUCACGCCUCACGUCUGAGUGGGAAAGACAAAGAGCAAGUUUGUAAAAGGGCCUGAAAACUUAGUUAGGUGGUAAGGACGUGGAAAGAGAAGGCGACAGUCGGGGGGAGGGGGGGGGGGGGGUUAGGGGAGGGGCAGGCAGUCGAGCAGACAGAGGAAAAGAGAGGAAGGAGAAAUGAUGAUGAUGAGUGUGGAUAGGCAGGGCGAAUUGAAUCUUUUAAUCUCCCAAAGUGGGAAGAAAGCGACCCGAGGCAUUUGUGAUUGGAUUUACUUUAAGUCCACAAGUAGGUCAAUAGAGCUAGCGUUGCUCAUUAGCAAAGAGGGAGGAGAGGCGUUGGGAGGAGAGCAAGGAAAAAGUUUUGUGUCGAUACAGUGAGCAUCAUUCAUUCGCCCUUUUCUCCUCAGAAGGGGGGGGGUGAAGUUUGGCUGUGUGGCUUUUUGUUUUUGUCAGUCUGAAAAGGGUACUUGAGAAGAAGGCAGCAACUAUAAUAUAAGUCUUGCAAAAGGGCAUUUACAGUUAAUAUCAAUCAAGAUUCUGAUUUCUGAAACCGAGAGGCCUUGAUCAGCCAAAUGAAAGCGACCUGAGGUCAGCAAAGCAGAAAAUACAUGAGGCUGCAUUUGAAAUUCUCAAAAUGAGAAUGGCUGCGUGGCGUACGGAUGAAAGCAUCUGGUUUUGGCAUUUGGCUGGAUAAUAAAGUAUAAUAAUAGUAAUAAUAAGUGCUAAAAGCUUUGUGUAAUUCAUCUUUCCCAGAUUUCCUUCUGCACAAUUAGAUCCUGUUACUAAAGCAUAAUUAGCAACAGGAUGCCAAAGGCAAUUGGAGAGAGGAAGAAACAAGGUGGCAGAGCUGCGGGAAUCAAUGAGAAGAAACUAAAAGGUUAAGUUGAGUGGGGCAC
ensembl:lncRNA